UUUGACCUCGGAUCAGGUAGGA
rnacentral:rRNA from 4 species